rnacentral:rRNA from 1 species
GCCUUACACAUGCAAGUCGGAACGGCGAGCGACGGGAGCAAUCCUGGUGGCGAGUGGACGAACGGGUGAGUAAUAUAUACGGAACGUCGCCCAGUCGUGGGGAUAACGUAGCGAAAGCUACGCUAAUACCGCAUACGAUCUAUGGAUGAAAGCGGGGGAUCGCAAGACCUCGCGCGAUUGGAGCGGCCGAUAUCAGAUUAGGUAGUUGGUGAGGUAAAGGCUCACCAAGCCGACGAUCUGUAGCUGGUCUGAGAGGACGACCAGCCACACUGGGACUGAGACACGGCCCAGACUCCUACGGGAGGCAGCAGUGGGGAAUUUUGGACAAUGGGCGCAAGCCUGAUCCAGCAAUGCCGCGUGCAGGAUGAAGGCCUUCGGGUUGUAAACUGCUUUUGUACGGAACGAAACGGUGAGCUCUAAUACAGUUUGCUAAUGACGGUACCGUAAGAAUAAGCACCGGCUAACUACGUG